UACGUAGGGCGCGAGCGUUGUCCGGAAUUAUUGGGCGUAAAGAGCUUGUAGGCGGUUUGUCGCGUCUGCUGUGAAAGGCCGGAGCUUAACUCCGUGUAUUGCAGUGGGUACGGGCAGACUAGAGUGCAGUAGGGGAGACUGGAAUUCCUGGUGUAGCGGUGGAAUGCGCAGAUAUCAGGAGGAACACCGAUGGCGAAGGCAGGUCUCUGGGCUGUAACUGACGCUGAGAA
rnacentral:rRNA from 1 species